CUUGAACGCUGGCGGCAGGCCUAACACAUGCACGUCGAGCGGAGCGGCGGACGGGUGAGUAAUGCCUAGGAAUCUGCCUGGUAGUGGGGGAUAACGUCCGGAAACGGGCGCUAAUACCGCAUACUAUCAGAUGAGCCUAGGUCGGAUUAGCUAGUUGGUGGGGUAAAGGCCUACCAAGGCGACGAUCCGUAACUGGUCUGAGAGGAUGAUCAGUCACACGUGAACUGAGACACCGUCCAGACUCCUACGUGAGGCAGCAGUGGGGAAUAUUGGACAAUGGGCGCAAGCCGGAUCCAGCCAUGCCGCGGGGGUGAAGAAGGUCUUCGGAUUGUAAAGCACUUUCAGUUGGGAGGCGUUACCAACAGAAGAAGCACCGGCUAACUUCGUGCCAGCAGCCGCGGUAAUAC
rnacentral:rRNA from 1 species